UACGUAGGGGGCUAGCGUUGUCCGGAUUUAUUGGGCGUAAAGAGCGUGUAGGCGGCCAGGUAGGUCUGCUGUGAAAACUCGAGGCUCAACCUCGAGACGUCGGCGGAAACCAUCUGGCUAGAGUCCGGAAGAGGAGAGUGGAAUUCCUGGUGUAGCGGUGAAAUGCGCAGAUAUCAGGAAGAACGACCCGUGGCGAAGGCGGCUCUCGUGGGACGGUACUGACGCUGAGACGGCGAAAGCG
rnacentral:rRNA from 1 species